ensembl:lncRNA
GUUUUGAACAAAGAGAACUUGUCUUGGCCACAGAACUUCAUCCAGUCAUAUGUUACACAUAAAACAGUGAGAUAGGAGGAACGCAGGAAGCUAAUGAGGAGAAACACUGAGCUGAAACUAGAGUGUGAACAUCUGAGUGAAGAGGACAAGAGACUCUACGAUUCUCUCUCUAAAUGCAUUGAGCAGAAGGAGUGUCUUUUGGGUCAGAAACGGGAGACUCAGACGUCCCUUGAGCGUCUCAAGACUCUGAUCCGACUCAUUCAGCGUGACCAGAUGAUCCAAGUAACUAUGACGGCCACCACCACCACCGGAGCAUCGCUGCUCUCGCUGCCGUGGAUCAAAGCCACGGGCACCAGCACCACGGCACCCACAGCUGGCUCCUCCACAGUACAGCACAAAACCACCCUUCAGCCGCAAGGCAACAACUGACCCCCAAACCACACAAACACAUAGAACAGCUCUCUCUACAAGACCACCAAAUGUCUUUGUAAAGAGACACGGACGGUGUUCUAACCAAUGUGCAUUUUCUUCUGGUAAUGUCUUACCAUAAAAUAAUGGAAAAUUUUGAAAAAUAAUUAAAAGAAAUUAUGAGCGUCACUCAAUUCAUAAGUAUUUUUUAAAGCCAACACACAGUGCUCACAAGAUUUUUUUUUUUUAUUUAGUUUUUUAAUGUAUUAUUUUUCUUGGCCUUAAUGUAUUUAUGACUAGAUUACGAUGCAGUUGCAAGUAUAUGAAAUACGUAUUCUACAUAGUUAGAAACAUUUCUUUUUAUGCUUUGCAUUUUUUACUGGGGUUUGGUGUGUUUGCGUAUCGGGGGGAAUAAUCGUUCACAUUUAGUUAUUGAGAAGGUUAGCGUAGUUAUAGUUGAAGACAAGCGACAUAUGAAAUGAAGAGCACUGUACAUUGAUAUAUCGAAUAAACAUUUGUUUGAAUUUUUUUAAGAACA